rnacentral:rRNA from 1 species
UGAGAUAUCGCAUACACCCUGAACGCGCCCAGUCUCGUCUGAUCUCGGAAACUAAGCAGGGUAGAGCCUGGUUAGUACUUGGAUGGGAGAUAUCACAUAAUUAUGCUUGUCUGGUGAGGACAGGGGAUUCUAUUUUAC